GCCAGACUCCUACGGGAGGCAGCAGUGGGGGAUAUUGCACAAUGGGGGAAACCCUGAUGCAGCGACGCCGCGUGCGGGAAGACGGUCCUCUGGAUUGUAAACCACUUUCCCCAGGGACGAAAAUGACGGUACCUGGGGAGGAAGCUCCGGCUAACUACGUGCCAGCAGCCGCGGUAAUACGUAGGGAGCGAGCGUUGUCCGGAAUUACUGGGUGUAAAGGGAGCGUAGGCGGGGAUGCAAGUUGGGUGUCAAAACUACCGGCUCAACUGGUAGUCGCACUCAAAACUGCAGCUCUUGAGUGAAGUAGAGGCAGGCGGAAUUCCUAGUGUAGCGGUGAAAUGCGUAGAUAUUAGGAGGAACACCAGUGGCGAAGGCGACUAUCUGGCACAUAACUGACGCUGAGGAGCGAAAGCGUGGGUAGCAAACAGGAUUAGAUACCCCAGUAAC
rnacentral:rRNA from 1 species